rnacentral:rRNA from 1 species
AUUGAACGCUGGCGGCAUGCUUUACACAUGCAAGUCGAACGGUAACAGGUUAAGCUGACGAGUGGCGAACGGGUGAGUAAUGCAUCGGAACGUGCCCGGUCGUGGGGGAUAACGCAGCGAAAGUUGCGCUAAUACCGCAUACGAUCUGAGGAUGAAAGCGGGGGACCGUAAGGCCUCGCGCGAUCGGAGCGGCCGAUGUCAGAUUAGGUAGUUGGUGGGGUAAAGGCUCACCAAGCCAACGAUCUGUAGCUGGUCUGAGAGGACGACCAGCCACACUGGGACUGAGACACGGCCCAGACUCCUACGGGAGGCAGCAGUGGGGAAUUUUGGACAAUGGGCGAAAGCCUGAUCCAGCAAUGCCGCGUGCAGGAAGAAGGCCUUCGGGUUGUAAACUGCUUUUGUACGGAGCGAAAAGGUCUCCUCUAAUACAGGGGGCUCAUGACGGUACCUGAAGAAUAAGCACCGGCUAACUACGUGCCAGCCGCCGCCGUAA